GCUAGUUGUACGAGUUUAGACUCGUAGCAUAUAGCUCAGUAACACGUGGCCAAACUACCCUAUAGACCGUGAUAACCUCGGGAAACUGAGGCUAAUCGCGGAUAUCGCAUUCACGCUUGAAUGCCGAAUGCGAGAAACGCUCCGGCGCUAUAGGAUGUGGCUGCGGCCGAUUAGGUAGACGGUGGGGUAACGGCCCACCGUGCCAGUAAUCGGUACGGGUGGUGACAGCCAGAGCCCGGAGACGGUAUCUGAGACAAGAUACCGGGCCCUACGGGGCGCAGCAGGCGCGAAACCUUUACACUGCACGACAGUGCGAUAGGGGGACUCCGAGUGUGAGGGCAUAUAGCCCUCGCUUUUCUCGACCGUAAGGAGGUCGAAGAAUAAGAACUGGGCAAGACCGGUGCCAGCCGCCGCGGUAAUACCGGCAGUUCGAGUGAUGGCCGCGAUUAUUGGGCCUAAAGCGUCCGUAGCUUGCCGUGCAAGUCCAUCGGGAAAUCGACGCGCUCAACGCGUCGGCUUCCGGUGGAAACUGUCCGGCUUGGGGCCAGAAGACUCAGCGGGUACGUCCGGGGUAGGAGUGAAAUCCCGUAAUCCUGGACGGACCACCAAUGGCGAAAGCACGCUGAGAAGCUGGACCCGACAGUGAGGGACGAAAGCCAGGGUCUCGAACCGGAUUAGAUACCCGGGUAGUCCUGGCCGUAAACGAUGCUCGUUAGGUCUGCCGUG
rnacentral:rRNA from 1 species